GCUGGCGGCGUGCAUAACACAUGCAAGUCGAACGAUGAAGCUUUUUUGAUUUCUUCGGAAUGAUUAAAAGUGGAUUAGUGGCGGACGGGUGAGUAACGCGUGAGUAACCUGCCUUAGAGAAGGGGAUAGCCUUUGGAAACGAAGAAUAAUACCCUAUGAAACCAUAACCUCGCAUGAGGCCUUGGUCAAAGAUUUAUCGCUCUAAGAUGGACUUGCGUCUGAUUAGUUAGUUGGUGGGGUAACGGCCUACCAAGACAGCGAUCAGUAGCCGGCUUGAGAGAGUGUACGGCCACAUUGGGACUGAGACACGGCCCAGACUCCUACGGGAGGCAGCAGUGGGGAAUUUUGCACAAUGGGGGAAACCCUGAUGCAGCGACGCCGCGUGAUUUAGAAGGCCUUCGGGUUGUAAAAAUCUUUUCUAGGGGAAGAAAAUGACAGUACCAUAGGAAUAAGGACCGGCUAAUUACGUGCCAGCAGCCGCGGUAAUACGUAAGGUCCGAGCGUUGUCCGGAAUCAUUGGGCGUAAAGGGUACGUAGGCGGGUAAGCAAGUUAGAAGUGAAAUCCUAUAGCUCAACUAUAGUAAGCUUUUAAAACUGCUCAUCUUGAGGUAUGGAAGGGAAAGUGGAAUUCCUAGUGUAGCGGUGAAAUGCGCAGAUAUUAGGAGGAAUACCGGUGGCGAAGGCGACUUUCUGGCCAUAACCUGACGCUGAGGUACGAAAGCGUGGGUAGCAAACAGGAUUAGAUACCCUGGUAGUCCACGCCGUAAACGAUGAGUGUUAGGUGUCUGGAGUAAAUCUGGGUGCCGCAGCUAACGCAUUAAACACUCCGCCUGGGGAGUACGCGCGCAAGCGGA
rnacentral:rRNA from 1 species